UAAUAGUGUAUAUUAAAGUUGUUGCAGUUAAAAAGCUCGUAGUUGAAUGUUGGUGUCGAACGAGCGGUCAGCUUCGGCUGUACUGCCCUCUCGACUCCUUCCUUCUGUGGACUACGUCGCACUUUACUGUGUGGCGCUAGGACGCAGAUCGUUUACUGUGAAAAAAUUAGAGUGUUCAAAGCAGGCCGUACGCUUGAAUACAUUAGCAUGGAAUAAUGGAAUAGGACGUCGGGCCUAUUUUGUUGGUUCUAGGACCGUCGUAAUGAUUAAUAGGGACAGUUGGGGCCGUUUAUAUUCCGUAGUCAGAGGUGAAAUUCUUGGAUUUACGGAAGAUAAACUACUGCGAAAGCAUUCGGCAAGGAUGUUUUCGUUAA
rnacentral:rRNA from 1 species